GAUGAACGCUAGCGGCAGGCCUAACACAUGCAAGUCGAGGGGCAGCACAGGAAAGUAGUAAUACUUUUGGGUGGCGACCGGCGGACGGGUGCGUAACGCGUAUACAACCUGCCUUCUACUGGGGGAUAAUUCGGAGAAAUCUGGUCUAAUACCCCAUAACAACCGAUGAGGCAUCUCAUUGGUUUAAAAGCUCCGGCGGUAGAAGAUGGGUAUGCGUGACAUUAGAUAGUUGGUGGGGUAACGGCUCACCAAGUCGACGAUGUCUAGGGGGACUGAGAGGUUAACCCCCCACACUGGUACUGAGACACGGACCAGACUCCUACGAGAGGCAGCAGUGAGGAAUAUUGGUCAAUGGACGCAAGUCUGAACCAGCCAUGCCGCGUGCAGGAAGACGGCUCUAUGAGUUGUAAACUGCUUUUGUACGAGGGUAAACCCAGGGACGUGUCCUUGGUUGAAAGUACCAUACGAAUAAGGAUCGGCUAACUCCGUGCCAGCAGCCGCCGUAA
rnacentral:rRNA from 1 species